rnacentral:rRNA from 1 species
CCUACGGGAGGCAGCAGUAGGGAAUCUUCCACAAUGGACGAAAGUCUGAUGGAGCAACGCCGCGUGAACGAUGAAGGCCUUCGGGUCGUAAAGUUCUGUUGUAAGGGAAGAACAAGUGCCGCAGGCAAUGGCGGCACCUUGACGGUACCUUGCGAGAAAGCCACGGCUAACUACGUGCCAGCAGCCGCGGUAAUACGUAGGUGGCAAGCGUUGUCCGGAAUUAUUGGGCGUAAAGCGCGCGCAGGCGGCCUCUUAAGUCUGAUGUGAAAGCCCCCGGCUCAACCGGGGAGGGCCAUUGGAAACUGGGAGGCUUGAGUAUAGGAGAGAAGAGUGGAAUUCCACGUGUAGCGGUGAAAUGCGUAGAGAUGUGGAGGAACACCAGUGGCGAAGGCGACUCUUUGGCCUAUAACUGACGCUGAGGCGCGAAAGCGUGGGGAGCAAACAGGAUUAGAUACCCUGGUAGUCCACGCCCUAAACGAUGUCAACUGGUUGUUGGGUCUUAACUGACUCAGUAACGAAGCUAACGCGUGAAGUUGACCGCCUGGGGAGUACGGCCGCAAGGUUGAAACUCAAAUGAAUUGACGGGG